GAUCAGUGGCUCAGGACGAACGCUGGCGGCGUGCCUAACACAUGCAAGUCGAGCGGGGAUGUUGGAGAGCUUGCUCAAAAACAUUCUAGCGGCGGACGGGUGAGUAACGCGUGAGCAACCUGCCUAUCACAGGGGAAUAACGCACCGAAAGGUGUGCUAAUACCGCAUGAGACCACAGGACCGCAUGGUCAAGGGGUCAAAGAUUUAUCGGUGAUAGAUGGGCUCGCGUCUGAUUAGCUAGUUGGUGAGGUAACGGGCCCACCAAGGCGACGAUCAGUAGCCGACCUGAGAGGGUGAUCGGCCACAUUGGAACUGAGAAACGGUCCAAACUCCUACGGGAGGCAGCAGUGGGGAAUAUUGGGCAAUGGGCGCAAGCCUGACCCAGCAACGCCGCGUGAAGGAAGAAGGUCUUCGGGUCGUAAACUUCUAUCCUUGGUGAAGAUAAUGACGGUAGCCAAGAAGGAAGCCCCGGCUAACUACGUG
rnacentral:rRNA from 1 species